rnacentral:rRNA from 1 species
ACGAACGCUGGCCGCGUGCUUAACCCCUGCAAGUCGAACGGAAAGGCCCUGCUUUUGUGGGGUGCUCGAGUGGCGAACGGGUGAGUAACACGUGAGUAACCUGCCCUUGACUUUGGGAUAACUUCAGGAAACUGGGGCUAAUACCGGAUAGGAGCUCCUGCUGCAUGGUGGGGGUUGGAAAGUUUCGGCGGUUGGGGAUGGACUCGCGGCUUAUCAGCUUGUUGGUGGGGUAGUGGCUUACCAAGGCUUUGACGGGUAGCCGGCCUGAGAGGGUGACCGGCCACAUUGGGACUGGGAUACGGCCCAGACUCCUACGGGAGGCAGCAGUGGGGAAUAUUGCACAAUGGGCGGAAGCCUGAUGCAGCAACGCCGCGUGCGGGAUGACGGCCUUCGGGUUGUAAACCGCUUUCGCCUGUGACGAAGCGUGAGUGACGGUAAUGGGUAAAGAAGCACCGGCUAACUACGUG